GAGGCGCACUCUGCUGGCCGUCAUGUUUACACUCCCUCUGUGUGCUGGCAUCUCACUUCUAUUUUGUUGAAUAAUUUCAUCAAGAUGUGUAGUUAAUCGUGACCUGUUUAACUACCUAAGUGUGCGGACUGCUGUGUUGCACUACCGAGCAUGUUGCAGGGGAUUUAUACACGGUAGAAGCAAGAAUAAGGAGCCGCCUCGUGAGAAAUAGGUUGUGGCUGUGUGGAGCAGCAGACGAGUGUGUGAUAGAGGGAGAGAGAGAGAGGGAGAGACACUAUUUCAUACUAUAGGGGAUGGAUCUCCUAACCCCUUCGCUGCAGAUGACUUCAAGGUGUUGUACAACAUCAAAGUUUCCAUGCGGAUAACAGGAGGUGUGGAUACAAUCACCAGUCACUUGAUUGUUUAGUCCCUAAUUCCUGAUACAUGACAGCACUAAGGGCACAUGCAGAUUAGCCUGGGCUGUUCUGUGGACCUGCAGCACCAUGCAAUCCUAUGCUGACAACGCUUCACCAUCUAUUAUCAGACAAGAUGAUUCUUCAAGCAGUUGAAUAGAUUAAGGACAGUCUAUACCUUCAGUGAAAAUAUCUGCAAACAUGGAUUUGUUCGUGCUGUGGAGUGACCCAUUCAUUACAGCAAGAGAGAUUGGUAGAGGCAUCACUUGCUAUCAGUUACUCGGCCAGCCUCUCGAACACCUACAAGAUGUUGCAGUAUGCUUUUGUCAGCUUUCAAUAUUUUGUUUAUCUUCAUUAAUACUCUUCUUCAUAUUAUAUAAAACUGAGAAGAUUAUAGCAUUUUUCUUUAAUAGAGGGUUAUGGAAUGGUAUGUAUUUCAGACUUCUUAACUGUUCUCACUCAAAACUAGCUGCUCUUUCACAAAAUUUUACAGAUUUUCUGACCUGAGUACAGUAUUUGGCAUUUAGUAAUGAGUUAUCAAUGGCUUGUGUUGCUAGGUCUUUUGUGGCAAUGCUCUGUCGAGUUUCUUGUUGUGUAUGGACAAACAACUUAUAGGUUUUUGAAAGCUGUGAUAGUAAAUCUUCUUCAGCACUUAUUUUUACCUUCAUGUUGUAUUUUCAUUGUGAAGAAAACUUUCCCCAGGCAAAAGAUAUUACAUGUGUUGGGGAUGAAAUAUGAGAUCUCAGCUUGUAGGACAGUGUUCACCUACACAAUUCAGCAGUGAUAUUUUUUUUACACCAGCAAUCUGCUACUGCUCUUCCUGGUUCCUUGGCUUGAUCAGGGUUGAAUUAUUUUUUAUUAUUAAUAGCCACACAACUACACCUAAAAGCUACUUAGCUGCAAAAUGCCACAUUUUCCAUGGAAGCUGUCUUUCACAUUACAGCAGGUUUUUUGGGGAAGGCUUGUAAUAGAUUUAACAAUAAUUACUUGUUAUUGUUUGUUAGCAUCAGCAAGGUAGCAUUAUGUAGGUAGUUAGGGAAACCUUGAGACUUGGGUCCUGGAGGUGGGAAGCACAGUGUCUGUGCUUUGAAAGAGGGGUGGGGAUUUUCUCUAGAUAAUUCACGUAGAUAGUUCCUGGAUCACUGGCUUUGUGGCCUACUUCCAGACCAGGCCUCCCAGUUUGGAGGAUCGUAUGAAUUGUGAUGUCUAUGCAGUUCUGGGCAAGAUAACUUAUGAAUGAAUGAUGGUUGUUAUUUUGGGGGGGGGGGGGCCCUACCGUGGUGGAAGACUGUUGGUGCAUUGAAAUAAAUGAUUGACUAUUUUAUUGUACAUAUUCAGGUUAACAAGUAACCUUAAUCAGAUGAGACUUCAUCUGAUGCAUCCUGCAUUUUGAUCCACCAGGAUCCACAAAGAAAGGGAGUUAGCUGCCCAGUACUAUGAACUGGUUUGGAUAUACUCUAGCUGUUUGAUCAUCUUUGAGGCUUAACCCUUUGACUGUUUUGGUCGUAAACAUACGUCUUACGAGCCACCGUUUUUGACGUAUAUAUACUCAUAAAUUCUAGCGGCUUCAAAUCAAGCAGGAGAAAGCUGGUAGGCCCACAUGUGAGAGAAAGGGUCUGUGUGGUCAGUGUGCACCAUAUAAAAAACGACCUGCAGCACGUAGUGCAUAAUGAGAAAAAAAAAACUCCGUUUUUUUUUUAAUUAAAAUGCCGACUUUGUGGUCUAUUUUCGUAUAGUAUUUAUAGUUGUAUUCUCGUUUUCUUGGUCUCAAUUGAUAGACUGAUAAACAUAUUAUAGAAAUAGAGGUAAUUUUGAUUGGUUUUACUAUGAGAAGAACCUUGAAAUGGAGCUCAUAGUAGGGGAAAUGUUUGAUUUUUGCCAAUGUUCAAAAGUAAACAAAUGAUGUCAUUUUCCAAUAUAUGUCCAAGUAGCCAUUCUAAUAUGCAGUCAUGAAUGGGUUGACAUUAUUUAUACAAUUAUUACAAUAUUGCAGUAGUCUGCAUAACAGUAAAUCUUCUGUUUUUUUUUUUUUUUUUUUUUUUUUUAAUAAAAAUUCAAAAUAGAAAGCAAGAGAAAUAUCAGAGGGGCCUGGAGACGUGACUGAUGAACAAAGAAAACGUUAUUUUAGAGCCAGGAAUGUCUGCAUUGUUCAUUCUGGACCCUAUUUUGAAUUUGUCAUAUUUUUUAAUUUUCGUGAAAUUGGCCAAAUUGCAAAUUUCUGACCACAUUAUUGGGUAGUUGAAAUCGGUAAACAGGCAGCUUUUUGUACUCAUUCGAUAGCAAAAAUGGAGUUCUAAAGAAAUAGCUAUGAGUUUGGUCGACUGGAACAAUGGAAUUAGCCGAAAAUAGGGCUCAAAGUGGGUGAAGUCGCCGAUUUGUAAAUAUUGCCAAGGUCGCUAACUUCGCGAGAGCGUAAUUCCGUCAGUUUUCCUUCAAAUUUCGUUCUUUUGGUGUCAUUACACUCGGGAAAAGAUUCUCUAUCAUUUCAUAAGAAUUUAUUUUUUGGGGGGAAAUUUUGCGACACCAGGAGACACCUCAGGAUUUGGGCUUGCGACAGUCAAGGGGUUAAGUAUUUGUAUUUGGCUAUAUUUCUUUUGCAGAUGUUCAUUGUACCUCACAGUUCUGUUUUUAAUUCUUGACCACCCAUUAGGCUCGGCAGUGCUGAUAUUGAGAGGGAGUUGAACUAUAGAGUUGCAUGUAAUCUUUUCCAGAGGUCACUACCUUUGGCCUGAUACCAGACCAAGCCUCUGGGGAGGUAGGGACAUUUAUUGUAAUUUAAGGAUAUAAAGAAUUGUAUGUAUUGUGAGGUUUAGUAGAAUAGGAGGCAGGGCAUACCUCCCUAGGUUGCCUUAAAGCAUUUACGCUGCUUCUGGUUAGAAAUUUAGGAAAACUAGGAAACUGGAAAUGUAUGCAAAGUAGCAGUGAAGAUGAACUAAAAGAGAAAUUUGGUAUGUAAAUGUCUGUUGUAUCUUGAACUGUAAAAUGAUUUAUUUAUUUAUUAACCCUUAAACUGUGGCAUGCCCAAAAGUAAAAAGUGCUGGAGGUGUAGCAAAAUUCUGAAAAAAAAGGAUUAAAAGUGCACAUUUUUCUCAGAAUAAGACAAAUACAAUCUGAUAAUCAUUUAACAUUUUUAUGGCCUGUUGAAUGAUUGGUGUUUAACACUAUGUACACUAGUUUCUUAUGAUACUAGAUGUAUUUCAAGGUGUUUUAGUACUCCAAACAUGGGAAGAUUCUUAUCUAAUAUAACCCCCUCAUCGAAUAUACAGUAUAAAUUAGCAUAAAUAAUUUUUUUUUUCAACAAACCAGCCAUAUCCUACCAAGGCAGGGCAACCUUAAAAGAAAAAAAUGUUUUUUCUUUUUAAAUUUAGUAAUUUAUACAGAAGGGGUUACUAGCCCGUUGCUCCUGGCAUUUUAGUCAUCUUUUACAGCAUGCAUGGCUUACAGAGGAAGAAUUCUAGCAAAAAUAAUUAUUUUUCCAUAUUUCAUCUGAUUGCUUUUGUCUUUGUCUUCUAACACUAUGUGAAGGAAAUCCUGUGAUAUUACAAUUGAUUCAGCCAUAAUACCUUUAGACAUGUGGAAAUAAGUCACAUUGUUUGACUUGAUUGGGUUAUUCGGGGUUAAAAAUAUAGGCUGUAAUGUACUUUUUGUUCCUUCAAGAAGUGUUAUGAUAUUACAAUUGAUUCAGGAUGUGCUACUUCUCAAUACAUGGAAAUAAGUCCCAUUGUUUGACUUUCUUAAGAUAUCCUGGGUUAAAAUUUAGGGAUGGGACAAUACUAAUAUUUUUGCCAGGACCAACACCACCAAAAUUAGCUGUUAUCCACUGAUACUCAGUUUUAGGCUGAUAUCAACACUUUCAAAAUUACCCGAUACCCACCGAUACUUUGGCAUACCCCUAUUAAAAAUAUACAUAUGCUGUAAUGUGCUCUUUUAUGUGCCCUCUUGACCAUUGUAAAAAAAAAAAAUGCUAUGUACACAUGCCAAAAUUAAAAAAAAAAAAAAAACGAAGAUGAAUAAAAGCAGAGUGGCAUGUCACACACUUUAUAAAGACCAUGGUACUCUUAGUCAUGAUACACUGUUUACCUGCCUGGCUUGUAUGUUUUAUCCAAGGUGCGACAAGGUGGCAGGACACCCAAACAGUUGAACUGAGGCCUAAAUAUUAGCUGGCAUCAAAUUUGUGAGGCCUAUAAAAAUUUGUGUUUAUAUAAGUUGUACCCACAAAAAAGAAGAUCCUGCACAUAUAUCCUGUAUACGUCGUGCACAGUUUAAGGGUUAACAAACCAGAAUGUUAUAUAAAUGUUAAAGCUUGAUAGAUAAUGUAAUAGCAUAAUGACUUUUGUGAAGUUCUUUGUUCUUGUUAUGUUUGGGUAAGAUUUAAGGGGUACGUAAGUACCCCUGUCUUCUAAUAACAUGUACAUUUUUCCCCUAUAAUCUACCUUUUCCAUAAUUACUAUCGCAUUUGCUUUGUUUGUUUCAUGAGGAGAGUUAUGUUGUAAAGGUCUGAGCACAGCUCAGACCUCUACAACACAAUUGUCCUCAAAGAUUUGUUAAGUUAUACCAUGAAUUAAGGAAAAAUCCUAGACUUCACUUUACGAAACAGACAAAGCAAAUAUGAUAGCGAUUAUGGAAAAGGUAGAUUAUAGGGGAAAAAUGAAUGUGUUAUUAGAAGACAGGUACUUACGUGUCUCUUAAGCUAGAAAAUAGUAAGAAUAUACAAACAAUUGAGUUAAGUGUCCCUCGCCCUGGUAGGCAAUGCUCUCGCUCAACACACUGAAUGUUCGUGGUUUGAUCCCUGGCAAGGGUGGCAAUAAUGGGUGUGUUUCUUUACACCUGCUGUCCCCAUUCACCUAGCAAGCAAGUAGGUACCUGGGUGUUAGUUGAAUGGUGUGGAUUGCAUCCUGGAGGACAAGAAUUAAGGACCCCAGUGGAAAUAAGACACAGUCCUUGAUGACGCACUGACUUUCUUGGAUUAUCCAGUGUAGCUAACCCUCUGGGGUAAAAAUCCAAACAAAAUCUUUAUUUACAUACGUUAAAGAUUGCAAUCAAAUUAUUGUAAAACUUGAAUUUCGUCAGUUGUUUUUGUGUCGGUGAAGAAGUCAGACAGUACAGUACAUAAUUUAAAAUAAUGCUAUAAAGGCAAUUUUUUAAAAAAAUUAAGGAAAGAAAAGCAUACUAAUUCCAAAACUGCCAUUUAGAUUGGAAUGAGAGUUUCUUUAAAUUACCUAUUAUAAUAAUUUAGCAUAGAAAUUUUCAGCAAAAUAAGUUGAUAACUUUGUAAAGAAAAUGAACAGGCUGAAUGCCUUUAAAGGAAUUUCACAUUUCAUGCUAACUUGAAAAAUUCUUAACAAAAUUGUAGUUUAGGACUUUCUUUGGGCUUCUAGGAGCAUUGUCAGAAUAUCUGCAAAGUCACUUUUUAUGUAGAUAUUGUAUGACAUUUUUGGGAGGUAGUCUUCUGUCAAGACUGAGACUGAUUUAUUUUGAUUGUACUGUUCAGCAGUUGUAACUUCACAAAUAAAUCAUAUUACUAAUAAUACAGUAAAUAUUACAGUUACAUUUCAAGGAAUGAGGCUGACUACUCAAGUCUCGCAUGGCAAUCUGAUAUCUGCAGCAUCACUCGCUAUCUCGCUUGAGGAUGAUAAUAGCAUCUGUGUCCUGCGAAGAAGUAAAUGAGUUAGCCUUCAGUAAGAUCCCAAGUAUCAACAUCAUCACUGCCUUCUCAUGGCCUGCCUCAAAUAUUUCUUUGCCGAAAUGGUCAACUAAAUUAUAUUUAGUAUGUUGACCUGUAUAUUUUGAAGUCUCUUGUCUUUGUGUAUGUUGCUGAAGGUUUGUGAAUCCUCUCCUAACAUGAGUACUGUAAAGACAGCUGUUGUGUGUAUGUUUCAUUGUGUGUGUGUCUACUGUGUAUUUUAAUUUUUUUCUAUCCUGUAAUCAGGUAAUCUCUUAUAACUUACAAUAUAUUAUACAGUAUUUGAUUGAUCUCUUACAUAUAAACAGUAUUAAUGUUACUUUGCUUGUAAGGAAUCAUUGAAUCAUAGCAUGAACAUAUUCAUAAUAUGACCCUUAUAUUCCUGUUCUAUUUUUAUCAGUAGAUUUUGGCUAAUGAAUACAGUAUUUGUGGAUACAGUACAUUUUGUAUUUAAAAUUUGUCUUUGAUAGAUUUUUUCUUGAAGUAUACAUAGUUUAGUGUGUAUUUUUAUUAUAUUUUCUCUGGAAUGUUGGAUCAGUGUAGUCAGUUCAGCUUAAGUUGUGACGGCUUAAUCCUCCAUAAGCUUGUUGGAGAAAAUAUACCUAAUGCCUGAAAUUUACUGUUCUGAGAUUUUUGUAAAUCAUUUAUUACUGAUUGGCUACUGAAGUGCUCUUAGAGUAUUUUUCUGUGUAUCUCAGUUAAUAACUCAGCAGUUGUAUCCUUUAACCUUUUGAGUGUCACAACCCCUACUCACAAACUUGCUCUCAGGGCUGAAGAAUUUUCAGAAAAAAAAAAAUCUUAUGAAAUGAUAGAGAAUCUUUUUCCUAAGGUAAUAAAACUAAAAGAACAAAAUUUGAUAGAAAACUUAUGGAAUUACACAGUCUCGGCAAUAUUUACGCAUCGGCGAUUUCCCCCACGUUGAGCACUAUUUUGGGCCAAUUCCACUGUUCCAGUUGACCAAACUCAGUUAUUUUGCUAGUACUCCUUUUAUUCUAUCAACUGACUGCAAGAAACUGCUCAUUUACCUAUUUCAACUACCCAAUAAGGUGAUCAGAAAUUACUAAUUUGGCCAAUUUCACACACAGUUCAAGAAAGGCCAAUUUCAAAAUUGGGUCUAGAAUAAACAGUGCAGACAUUCCUGGCACUAACAUAACAUUUUCUCUGUUCAUUAGUCAUAUCUCCAGGCCUCUCUUAAUUACACUCGCUUUUCACUUUUUACUUUUAUUCACACAAAAAAUAGAAGAUUUGCUUUUAUGCAGAAUACUGCAUUAUUGUAAUAAUUGUAUAAAUAAUAUCAGCGCAUUUGUGAAUGCAUAUUAGACCCACCAGUUGAUGUGUAUUGGACUCGUGACGUGAUUUGUUUACUCUUGAACAUCAGCAAAAAUCGAACAUUUCCACUAAUUUGAGCUCAAUUUCAAGCUACUUUAAUAUGUAAACCAUUCAAAAUCAUCUUUAUUUCUGUAAUAUACUAUGUUCAAUUCCAUCAAAUGUUACCAAGAAAACGAGAAUACAACCAUAAAAACCAUACAAAAAUACACCACACAGUUGCUGUUUUAAACCAAAACCACAGUCAGUUUUUUCUCAUGCACUGCAUGCUGCAGGAUUGUUUUUUAUACUGCACGCACUGACCACGCAGGCACAUUCUCUCACAGGUAGACCUACCAGCUUUCUCCCGCCAGAUUUGAAACCGCUAGAAUUUUGGUGUAGUAUUUCGGGACCGACACUGGGUUCAAAGCUGUUGUAUUACAGGACCAACACUGAAGGGGUUAAAAUGUCUCUUGAUCCAGUGGUAAAAUUAGGUAAAUGUUAAAUUUUAAAGAAACUGGCCCCAUAUGAUCUUGGACAUGGAAUAGGGGAUUGUUUAUUUAUACCCAGUACAGUGGACCCCCGGUUAACGAUAUUUUUUCAUUCCAGAAGUAUGUUCAGGUGCCAGUACUGACCGAAUUUGUUCCCAUAAGGAAUAUUGUGAAGUAGAUUAGUCCAUUUCAGACCCUCAAACAUACACGUACAAACGCACUUACAUAAAUACACUUAAAUAAUUGGUCGCAUUGGGAGGUGAUCGUUAUGCGGGGGUCCACUGUAUUAAUUGACCAUUCAUGUUAUUUUUUUUUUUUGUAAGAAAUUUCUUAAUCCUUUAGUUUUUAGUAUUGCCUUUAGAAAAAGUUUCAAAUAGCAGCAAGCAGGGUUACUUAAUUUUUUUUUUUUCCUGUUAGAAAGUAGUUGUGGUACACUAGUCAUACUUUUACCUGGAUUUCAACCUGUAUAACUGAUAAAUAAAUGUAUAUUUAUAUUA